UCAGAAAGAAUCAAACACAAUCCCAAAUGAGAAAUUCAACACACAAAAGAAUGUUAUAUAAAAAGGACUGAAUCAGUGAAAAGAAAAAGAAGCAAAUACCUUCUUGUCAGCGGCGGCGCAUCCCAGCCUUGCGGUCGAGCAGAGAUUUUUUUUUAUGCCACCAAUCGAUUUCGCAAGACUGAUUGCAAAUUGUUGCAGAUUUGUGGGAAAAAGUGAGACAGAAACGUGUUGAUGUUAUCAUUUUUAUCAGAAGUGGCGAAGAAGUUGAAACUUGAGACCAGAUCGUGAUCAGUUUAUCAAAUGUGUGCGGUUUACUCUUUUUUUUUUUUUUUUUUUUUUAUUCUUAUUAUCGUUGAGUUGAAAGCUGCGAAUAAAACGGACAAUUAAUUAUAGGACAUAAUUAUCCUUUACCAAAAUAUCCUUAGGGCAACAAAUAUUUCACCAAAACAGCAUUAGAGUUUCGGGGCAAACCUUUCUUUUAUAUAUAAAGAUAAGUCAAAAGUUCUUGUUUUUAUAUAUAAAGAUAAACCUACAUCAUGUUAACAAAAUACUUGCAGCUAGAAAGGUAACAUUAGGGAAAACGUUUCAAAGAUAUACGGAUAUCACUCUAAAAUUUGCAUAGACAAUUUCAAUCCUAGUACAAUAGGAAAGAAGUGGCAAGUGCAGUACGGAAAGAAUAGGAACACAAACUCUUUCAUGUAACAUCAACUUCUUCCUUUCGUUUCCUAAAGGAAUUAUGUUACCUAUUCCAAUGUAGUAAAAGAGUAGUAUUACCUGAAGAGCUAUUUUACACCUCAAAACCCGUUUGCUGUCAAUUCCCCAAGUUAGACAUUCAU
rnacentral:lncRNA from 1 species